UACGGAGGGUGCAAGCGUUAUCCGGAUUCACUGGGUUUAAAGGGUGCGUAGGUGGACUUGUAAGUCAGUGGUGAAAGCCCGGAGCUCAACUCCGGAACUGCCAUUGAUACUGCAGGUCUUGAGUACACUUGAGGUGGGCGGAAUACAUCAUGUAGUGGUGAAAUACUUAGAUAUGAUGUAGAACACCGAAUGCGAAGGCAGCUCACUAAAUUGUAACUGACACUGAGGCACGAAAGCGUGGGGAUCAAACAGG
rnacentral:rRNA from 1 species